rnacentral:rRNA from 1 species
GACGAACGCUGACGGCGUGCUUAACACAUGCAAGUCGAACGGAAAGGCCCUGCUUUUGUGGGGUGCUCGAGUGGCGAACGGGUGAGUAACACGUGAGUAACCUGCCCUUGACUUUGGGAUAACUUCAGGAAACUGGGGCUAAUACCGGAUAGGAGCUCCUGCUGCAUGGUGGGGGUUGGAAAGUUUCGGCGGUUGGGGAUGGACUCGCGGCUUAUCAGCUUGUUGGUGGGGUAGUGGCUUACCAAGGCUUUGACGGGUAGCCGGCCUGAGAGGGUGACCGGCCACAUUGGGACUGAGAUACGACCCAGACUCCUACGGGAGGCAGCAGUGGGGAAUAUUGCACAAUGGGCGGAAGCCUGAUGCAGCAACGCCGCGUGCGGGAUGACGGCCUUCGGGUUGUAAACCGCUUUCGCCUGUGACGAAGCGUGAGUGACGGUAAUGGGUAAAGAAGCACCGGCUAACUACGUG